UUGCGCUCCACAAGAUCGUGACAGCCAUUGGAGGCGGUGUAUCGGUUGCUAAGGCGCAGUCUUGAGGGCUGUAGUCGGGCCGUGAACGUCAUCUCCAUUCACUAAUUGAGUUAUCCAGCGCCUCUCAUCGAAAGAUCAGGCGAAAACCCUAGUGGGUUCACAUCAGUUGGUAAUCAGAGCAAGGUUUAUCGGUGAGAGAUUUCCAAUUCUUCGUGUUUGUUUUUCCUAUAGUCCAAAAAAAAGACAAAAAAUAUAGCAGAUUUGUUUUCCAUAAUCCUAUAAAUCCUUUGUGCCGUGGCUAGUACUACUUAGUUAGGGCUGGUUGAAUGAGUGUUUGCUUCGGUCGUGUCCAGUGCUGGUUUUAGUUUAGUCCUUUAGAGUUUUGAGUUCUUGUCACCAUCUAGUCACAACUGCGUCCAAUCUAUUGUGGGUUGGAAUUUGAGUAGAUCUUGAUAAUAGGUGCAGCCACCAUUGUCUAUUCUGCGUUUCCAUCAACGUGAUCCAAAAGGAAAGAUAGCACUUUAUACUUGUGCUAGAUAUAUUGAAUUUUGAGGUUCAGCCUUACUCUAGUGAGAGGGUGAGAGUGGUGAAGUGAUAUUUUGUACUAUUUCGUUUAUAUAAUCACGUUUUGAGGUUCCCCAAAAAAAAAGAAAAGAGAAAGAAAAAAAUAAAGAAAAAAAAGAAAGAAAGAAAGAAAAAAGAAAAAAAUCAAAAGAAGGGGAUUGUUGUUCCUUUUGUUUCCAGUAGGGCUGCUCAUUUUGUUUCUAGUGGUGUGCUGUGUUUUCCCUUUGUGUCCAGGCUCGCGUCUCUAGCACGGUCUAGGCUAGGACCAGCACAGUACCACCGUUGAGCGUUUAUUCAGCUCGCUUUUAUAACUAACGUGGUGCUAGUUCGUUCCUUGUUUCAGCCCACC
rnacentral:lncRNA from 1 species